rnacentral:rRNA from 1 species
GUCCACGCCCUAAACGAUGUUUACUUGCUGUUUGCCCUUCGGGGUGAGUGGCGUAGCGAAAGCGAUAAGUAAACCACCUGGGGAGUACGCCGGCAACGGUGAAACUCAAAGGAAUUGACGGGGUCCGCACAAGCGGUGGAGCAUGUGGUUUAAUUCGAUGAUACGCGAGGAACCUUACCUGGGCUAGAAUGAAUACGGAAGUGAUCUGAAAGGUGAAACGCACUUCGGUGACGUAUUCAAGGUGCUGCAUGGCUGUCGU